CAACCUGAGGGACAGAGUGAGACUCCAUCUCAAAAAAAAAGCGGCCCCUCCUUCAGUUUAGCUUUCUUAUUCACAAAGUACUUUCACAUACAUUAUGCCCACUUGUUUCCAGCUGAGACUGACCAUGGACAUGCUCUUCUGAUUCUGUCUUGUUUGUAUAAUCCAAUUUCAUAGCUACAUUGCCAAGGAGGAUACAUUUCACAGGAUUACCAUUUAUGGUGGCUACAGAGAAUCCCACUGUUCUAAGCUCUAGUAUGCAAAACCAUUUCCCAAGUGUGCAUCUGGAAUAACUCAGUCUUUUUCUUUUAAGAAUAGUUGUGGUAAAGUGCCUUCUAUAAUAUUGUUUUUCCUUUCUUUGCAGUAUAUUUCCUUGAGUUCUCUAUCCCUUUGAGUGACACUAAUAUCAGGAGACAAUGGCACCAAGAGCCUGUGACUAGGCCUUUCCUUUAAGCUCAGAAGAAGACUGACAAAUGGGGAAGCCAAGCAGAUUCUAUGGCCCUUUUGUUACGUUCAUGCUUCACUCAUUUGUUCAGAAGUUUGUAGAGAGCCUUUCCUUGCUGAGCAAGAAGACAGGAAUACAGAGAUAGAUGCUCAACUGAAAGAUUGCAGACACAGGCUGGUUGACACAUACUUCUCUCAGCUGCCACAGAAGGGAUUCUUGCCUUAGAUAAAGAAGAUGGCCUUUGGAAGCCCUCAUAACCUGAGCUCUAGAUGGGGUCUUACUAUUUUGCC
rnacentral:lncRNA from 1 species